rnacentral:tRNA from 1 species
GGGGAUAUAACUCAGUUGGUAGAGUGCUUGCCUUGCAAUGCACAAGGCCCUAGGUUCAAUCCCUAGCAUCACCA